rnacentral:rRNA from 1 species
UACAGAGGUCUCAAGCGUUGUUCGGAUUCAUUGGGCGUAAAGGGUGCGUAGGUGGCGCUGUAAGUCGGGUGUGAAAUUUCGGAGCUUAACUCCGAAACUGCAUUCGAUACUGCGGUGCUUGAGGACUGGAGAGGAGACUGGAAUUCAUGGUGUAGCAGUGAAAUGCGUAGAGAUCAUGAGGAAGACCAGUGGCGAAGGCGGGUCUCUGGACAGUUCCUGACACUGAGGCACGAAAGCGUGGGGAGCAAACAGG